AUAUAUGUAAAAUAUAUUAUUUUUAUUUAUGAUAUAAAUAUAGUAAUUUGUAGCAAAGUCUAAUUGGGGUGAAAUAAGAAUAAAGCACAAAAAUACAUCCAUAUUCAUCCAACAGCAACAAAAAUGAUACAAAAGUGUAGCAUUUCAUGAAAUAUUUUCAUAUCUUAACCCUACUUACUGAAGCCGAAACCUGACCAAAACCAGAACCAGAACCAGAACCGCCGAAGUAGCAUGACGGCGCAACACCAAUUCAGACAAUGAAGCUUUUCCGUUAUAGAGAAGAAGGCUUCAUCUAUGGCAUCACUGACGGAAGAAUCACAUCUACCCAAAUCUUUUAUUUACUUACAAUUCAAAAAAUAGCAAAUCUAGGGUUUCUGGAAACAUAGAUGGGUGUUGUGCAAUUUGAUACAACUAAAAAUCGAUUUGUGGCAGCGGUUGAUGAUUUCUCAAUCAAAUUCUGGGAUAUGGAUCCCUUCGUCUUCCACCUACAGUAAAUCCAAUAUCUGUAGCAUCAGCAAACAAAUUCUGGAAUUGCAGAUAGGUGGCCUCUUUUGUUGGCAUCAGUGGAAUGGUUUGUAAAUUUAACUCCCAAAGAUAUCAAGGUUAAUAUAUACUAACUCUGGUGAUGCCAUCUCUGUAUUAGCAUCGAAUGCUAUUCACCUGCUUUGGAAGUGGCUAAGAAACGAGUGCAAUUCAGAGGGCAAGGCAACAACCAGU